rnacentral:rRNA from 1 species
AUUGAACGCUGGCGGCAGGCCUAACACAUGCAAGUCGAACGGUAACAGGAAACAGCUUGCUGUUUCGCUGACGAGUGGCGGACGGGUGAGUAAUGUCUGGGAAACUGCCUGAUGGAGGGGGAUAACUACUGGAAACGGUAGCUAAUACCGCAUAACGUCGCAAGACCAAAGAGGGGGACCUUCGGGCCUCUUGCCAUCGGAUGUGCCCAGAUGGGGUUAGCUAGUAGGUGGGGUAACGGCUCACCUAGGCGACGAUCCCUAGCUGGUCUGAGGGGAUGACCAGCCACACUGGAACUGAGACACGGUCCAGACUCCUACGGGAGGCAGCAGUAGGGAAUAUUGCACAAUGGGCGCAAGCCUGAUGCAGCCAUGCCGCGUGUAUGAAGAAGGCCUUCGGGUUGUAAAGUACUUUCAGCGGGGAGGAAGGGAGUAAAGUCAAUACCUUUGCUCAUUGACGUUACCCGCAGAAGAAGCACCGGCUAACUCCGUGCCAGCCGCCGCCGUAA